UGAUCAUUUUUGCUGUUUACAGUUUAUCUUUAUCUAUAAUAAUAUUCAAGAUAAUGACCAAAAACUGCAAAAUUUCCUUAAAAUUACCAAUUAAGUGACAGCAACCCAACAAUGGGUUGUUUGAUUCAUCUGAAAAUUUCAGGGCUGAUAGAUCUUGACCUAAUAAACAUUUUUACCCCCAUGUCAGAUUUGCUCUAAAUGCUUUCGUUUUUGAGAUAUAAGCCAAAAACUGCAUUUGACCCCUAUGUUCUAUUUAAAGUAAGGGCGGCCAUGUUUUUCGACGGAUCAAAAAUCGAAGCACACACUUGUGCAGGAUAAUCUAAGGAACUAUCAUGCUAAGUUUCAUCCAAAUCCAUUCAGUAGUUUCAGAGGAGAAGAUUUUUUAAAGUUAG
rnacentral:lncRNA from 1 species